rnacentral:rRNA from 1 species
UACGUAGGUGGCAAGCGUUGUCCGGAUUUAUUGGGCGUAAAGAGCGUGUAGGCGGCUUGGUAGGUCCGCUGUGAAAACUCGAGGCUCAACCUCGAGAUGUCGGCGGAAACCACUUGGCUAGAGUCCGGAAGAGGAGAGUGGAAUUCCUGGUGUAGCGGUGAAAUGCGCAGAUAUCAGGAAGAACACCUAUGGCGAAGGCAGUUCUCUGGGACGGUACUGACGCUGAGACGCGAAAGCGUGGGGAGCAAACAGG